rnacentral:tRNA from 1 species
AUUAAUAUGCCUGAGUAAAAGGAUUAUUAUGAUAUAAUAAAUUAUGUAACAUUAAGUUUCUAUUAAUA